UUGUGUACAUAGUUUAUACUAAGUGACCCAUUGGUUGAUGAGGCGGUGGAGGAGGAAUAAGAGGUAGCCAACACUUUUUAAAAAAAAAAAUUUUUUUUUUAAUUGGGGUAGCCCCCAAAAUAUUGGGACAUAUAAAAAAACAAACAAACAAAAAAAUAUAACAGACAACUCUGUUCCGCAGAGUAGCUGUUGACAUUAUAGUUGCACAGGAACUUUGUUGACUCUAGAGAACCUCGGGCAAAACGCACAUUCCAGUGGCGGCAACUUUGCAUGCGGAUGUCAUCCAUAUCAACUUUCGAUGCCAGUUUCUGCACCUACCAUGGUGACCACUGGUAACGGGGAAUCAGGAUUCCAUUCCGUACAAGGACCCUGAGAAACGGCUACCACAUGCAAGGAAGGCAGCAGGUAUGCAAAUGACCCACUCCCGACGCGGGAAAGUAGUGACGACAAAUAACAAUACAGGACUCUUUAAAGGCCCUGUAAUUGUAAUGAGUCCACUUGAAAUCCUUUAACUCUGAUCAAUUGGAGGGAAGUCUGGUGCAGAGCAACUGAACCGUGCAUGCUGCAGCUGAAA